rnacentral:snRNA from 1 species
GGAUGUGAGGGCGAUCUGAGUGACAUGUGUCACUCCAUUGAUUGCCAGGGUUGAUUUGGCUGACCUGGCUGGUGGUUGUCCCCUUCCUCCCUCAUCACUCCAGGCGUGUCCCUCCCAAAGCUGUGCACUCUGUUGAAAAAGAUGACCUUCCCCAAGUAGAGAAGAACCAGUCUUCGGUCAAGGGUAUGUGAGUAGCUGUACUCCCCUGCUAGAACCUCCAAACAAGCUCUCAAAAUUAUAAAAAUAUAAUAAGUAAAUAAAACUAAUAUUAAAUUCUAAUCACUACUUUUAUUAGUUUACAAGUUG